rnacentral:rRNA from 1 species
CACGUAGGGGGCGAGCGUUGUCCGGAAUCAUUGGGCGUAAAGAGCUCGUAGGCGGCUCAGUAAGUCGGGUGUGAAACCCCCAGGCUCAACCUGGGGACGCCACCCGAUACUGCUGUGGCUAGAGUCCAGUAGGGGAGUGUGGAAUUCCCGGUGUAGCGGUGAAAUGCGCAGAUAUCGGGAGGAACACCAGCGGCGAAGGCGGCUACCUGGCCCACUCUUGACGCUGAGGCGCGAAAGCUAGGGGAGCAAACGGG